UAAGACAGAGGCCUCGAGCGUUAGGCGGAAUCACUGGGCUUAAAGCGUGUGUAGGCGGAUCGUUAAGUGCCUUGUGAAAUCCCACGGCUUAACUGUGGAACGGCUGGGCAUACUGGCGGUCUUGAGCCAUCUAGGGGCUACUGGAACAAACGGUGGAGCGGUGAAAUGCGUAGAUAUCGUUUGGAACGCCAAUGGUGAAAACAGGUAGCUGGGGAUGAGCUGACGCUGAGACACGAAAGCCAGGGGAGCAAACGGGAUUAGAUACCCCGGUAGUCCUGGCCCUAAACGAUGUCCACUAGAUCGCAGGACCUCUGACGGUUUUGCGGUCGAAGCAAAAGUGCUAAGUGGACCGCCUGGGAAGUACGGUCGCAAGGCUA
rnacentral:rRNA from 1 species